AUUGAACGCUGGCGGCAUGCUUUACACAUGCAAGUCGAACGGUAACAGGUCUUCGGAUGCUGACGAGUGGCGAACGGGUGAGUAAUGCAUCGGAACGUGCCCAGUCGUGGGGGAUAACGCAGCGAAAGCUGUGCUAAUACCGCAUACGAUCUAUGGAUGAAAGCGGGGGAUCGCAAGACCUCGCGCGAUUGGAGCGGCCGAUGUCAGAUUAGCUAGUUGGUGGGGUAAAGGCCCACCAAGGCGACGAUCUGUAGCUGGUCUGAGAGGACGACCAGCCACACUGGGACUGAGACACGGCCCAGACUCCUACGGGAGGCAGCAGUGGGGAAUUUUGGACAAUGGGCGCAAGCCUGAUCCAGCAAUGCCGCGUGCAGGAAGAAGGGCCUUCGGGUUGUAAACUGCUUUGUACGGACGAAAAGGUCUGGGUUAAUACCCUGGGCUCAUGACGGUACCGUAAGAAUAAAGCACCGGCUAACUACGUGCCAG
rnacentral:rRNA from 1 species